CCUACGGGAGGCAGCAGUAGGGAAUCUUUCACAAUGGGCGAAAGCCUGAUGGAGCAACGCCGCGUGCAGGAUGAAGGCCUUCGGGUUGUAAACUGCUUUUAUAAGCGAGAAAUAUGAUGGUAACUUAUGAAUAAGGAUCGGCUAACUACGUGCCAGCAGCCGCGGUCAUACGUAGGAUCCGAGCAUUAUCCGGAGUGACUGGGUGUAAAGAGUUGCGUAGGUGGCAUAAUAAGUAGCUAGUGAAAUCUGGUGGCUCAACCAUUCAGACUAUUAGCUAAACUGUUAAGCUCGAGACCGUUAGGGGUAACGGGAAUUUCUAGUGUAGGAGUGAAAUCCGUAGAUAUUAGAAGGAACACCAAUAGCGUAGGCAGGUUGCUGGGACGGUUCUGACACUAAGGCACGAAAGCGUAGGGAGCAAACGGGAUUAGAUACCCCAGUAGUC
rnacentral:rRNA from 1 species